rnacentral:rRNA from 1 species
CAAUAGCGUAUAUUUAAGUUGUUGCAGUUAAAAAGCUCGUAGUUGGAUUUCGGUUAAGAGCGACCGGUCCGCCGUUUGGUGUGCACUGGUUGGUUUUAACUUCCUGUAGAGGACGUGCUCUGGGUUUAACGACCUGGACUCGGAGUCUACGUGGUUACUUUGAAAAAAUUAGAGUGUUCAAAGCGGGCUUACGCUUGAAUAUUUCAGCAUGGAAUAACACUAUAGGACUCCUGUCCUAUUUCGUUGGUCUCGGGACGGGAGUAAUGAUUAAGAGGAACAGUUUGGGGCAUUCGUAUUUCAUUGUCAGAGGUGAAAUUCUUGGAUUUAUGAAAGACGAACUUCUGCGAAAGCAUUUGCCAAGGAUGUUUUCAUUAA